CAUACUUCAGUGUCUUGUCAAUCCUAAUAGCCAGUGAAGUCAGCUACAAAACCCAAAUACCUUUAGAAUUACCAGUUCUGGCAAAUUCAGUGGGAAUUUGAAUGUCUUGCUGGGCCCUUUCAUUGUAGCAAAUCUGCAAGCAGACCUUCACUACUUCUGUUGACAUGACGUGAGCAAAAAGCAAAUUCAAACUGCUCCAUUUUCCAGAGCCUUACUCCUUUGGAAUGCUAGGAUAUAAGCUCAAAACAUACUUGGGUGCUGUUCUCAAUUCACCUGGAAAGCCCAUCCAACCAAGGGGUGCCACUUCUUCCUACUUGCCACAGUAAGUCAAGGUAGAAUUAAAGGUUUACUUUAUCUUUAAAACCACAACAAGCAGCAUUCAAAAUGGAUACCCAUCUCCCACAGCCAGUGUCCACCCCAGGCACCCCUCCAGCUGAUGUAAGAGCAGAAUGGAGAAAAUCAGUCCUUCCACAGAGUUCACAUGGCAGAAGUAUUCUACAUGGCUUCAGUUGCCAGAGAUUUACCAGCUGUAUGGUUGUACACUUACAUCCUGAGUGCCAGAAUGGACUGUAUCUCUUCUAACUGGAUCAAAACAGAGAGGAAAUAUGAUCAUAAAGCUACUUCAAAGAACAUGUUCCCAAAGGUGAGAGCAAACAGCACAUUUUCAUUUCAGCAGCCUGCUCUGUAACAACUCUGUGGCUUCAUGUGAAAAUAAACAUAGCAGAAGAUAGACAAAACCUGCAUUGUGCACUCUAUCUGGUAAGCAAUGUCUUUGGCUCUCUGGUGCUGCCAGGGAGCAGCUUUUGAACUGCUCUGAAGAAAAUACCUCUGGCAUUUCUUGUACCAUCAGUAGGAAUCCCUUACCUUGAGUAAACUAAGUAAGUACAUAGAAAAGUUAUAAACCUCACCCAGUAGUAGAAUGAGCACACACAAGGUUAUAAACAACUGAUCUCCAGAAAGGGGCUGAUUCUGAUGUUAAAUACACAGGUGAAGGAUCUUCCCAAAGGAUAUUUUCUAGUAAUUAAAAGUUAUGUUCAGUACUAAAGAAAAAGGGCACUUGGGGGGGGAAAGAAGGAAGAUGGUUGACUGGAAGGCAGGAGCUGAAUGCUAACACUGGGAUAAGACUCAGUGAAUCC